CUUACGGGAGGCAGCAGUGGGGAAUAUUGCACAAUGGGGGAAACCCUGAUGCAGCGACGCCGCGUGAGUGAAGAAGUAUUUCGGUAUGUAAAGCUCUAUCAGCAGGGAAGAAAUAGCGACCUUUGGGUCGCCAGACGGUACCUGACUAAGAAGCCCCGGCUAACUACGUGCCAGCAGCCGCGGUAAUACGUAGGGGGCAAGCGUUAUCCGGAUUUACUGGGGGUAAAGGGAGCGUAGACGGCAGCACAAGUCUGAAGUGAAAUGCCGGGGCUUAACCCCGGAACGGCUUUGGAACCUGUGCAGCA
rnacentral:rRNA from 1 species